rnacentral:rRNA from 1 species
AACGAACGCUGGCGGCAGGCUAACACAUGCAAGUCGAACGAGACCUUCGGGUCUAGUGGCGCACGGGUGCGUAACGCGUGGGAAUCUGCCCCUUGGUUCGGAAUAACAGUUAGAAAUGACUGCUAAUACCGGAUGAUGACUUCGGUCCAAAGAUUUAUCGCCAAGGGAUGAGCCCGCGUAGGAUUAGGUAGUUGGUGGGGUAAAGGCUCACCAAGCCGACGAUCCUUAGCUGGUCUGAGAGGAUGAUCAGCCACACUGGGACUGAGACACGGCCCAGACUCCUACGGGAGGCAGCAGUGGGGAAUAUUGGACAAUGGGCGAAAGCCUGAUCCAGCAAUGCCGCGUGAUUGAUGAAGUCCUUAGGGUUGUAAAGCUCUUUUACCAGGGAUGAUAAUGACAGGACCUGGAGAAUAAGCUCCGGCUAACUCCGUGCCAGCAGCCGCGGUAA